ACGUGUUACAAUGGGGAGUACAGAAGGCAGCUUGCCGGUGACGGCUGGCCAAUCCCUAAAUCCCUUCUCAGUUCGGACUGGAGUCUGCAACCCGACUCCACGAAGCUGGAUUCGCUAGUAAUCGCGCAUCAGCCAUGGCGCGGUGAAUACGUUCCCGGGCCUUGUACACACCGCCCGUCAAGCCAUGAAAGCCGGGGGUGCCUGAAGUCCGUGACCGCAAGGGGCGGCCUAGGGUAAAACCGGUGAUUGGGGCUAAGUCGGAACAAGGUAGCCGUACCGGGUCGACGCGGCCG
rnacentral:rRNA from 1 species